GGCGCCGUUGCUCAGUUGGUUAAAGAGAUUGUCUUGUAAAUAGAAAUUUCGCGAGUUCGAAUCUCGUCGGUGCCU